rnacentral:rRNA from 1 species
UACGUAGGGCGCAAGCGUUAUCCGGAAUUAUUGGGCGUAAAGAGCUCGUAGGCGGUUUGUCGCGUCUGCCGUGAAAGUCCGGGGCUCAACUCCGGAUCUGCGGUGGGUACGGGCAGACUUGAGUGUUGCAGGGGAGACUGGAAUUCCUGGUGUAGCGGUGAAAUGCGCAGAUAUCAGGAGGAACACCGGUGGCGAAGGCGGGUCUCUGGGCAACAACUGACGCUGAGGAGCGAAAGCGUGGGGAGCGAACAGG